rnacentral:rRNA from 1 species
UGUAUCCUACGGGGGGCAGCAGUGGGGGAUAUUGCACAAUGGGGGGAACCCUGAUGCAGCGACGCCGCGUGGGCGAUGGAGUGCUUCGGCAUGUAAAGCCCUAUCAGCAGGGAAGAAAAUGACGGUACCUGACUAAGAAGCCCCGGCUAAAUACGUGCCAGCAGCCGCGGUAAUACGUAUGGGGCAAGCGUUAUCCGGAUUUAUUGGGCGUAAAGGGAACGCAGGCGGUCUUUUAAGUCUGAUGUGAAAGCCUUCGGCUUAACCGGAGUAGUGCCUUGGAAACUGGG